GAUGAACGCUGGCGGCGUGCCUAAUACAUGCAAGUCGAGCGAACACACGAGUAGCUUUCUCCUCUGACGUUAGCGGCGGACGGGUGAGUAACACGUGGAUAACCUACCUAUCAGACUGGUAUAACUUCGGGAAACCGGCUCUAAUACCAGAUAAUAUAUUGAACCGCAUGGUUCAAUAGUGAAAGACGGUUUUGCUGUCACUUAUAGAUCGUUCCGCGACGCAUUAGCUAGUUGGUAAGGUAACGGCUUACCAAGGCGACGAUGCGUAGCCGACCUGUGAGGGUGGUCAGCCACCCUAGAACUGAGCUACGGUCCAGACUCCUAUGGGAGGCAGCAGUAGGGAAUCUUACGCAAUGGGCGGAAGCCUGACGGAACACAGCCGCGUGAGUGAUGAAGGUAUUCGGAUCGUAAAACUCUGUUAUUAGGGAAGAACAAAUGUGUAAGUAACUAUGCACGUCUUGACGGUACCUAAUCAGAAAGCCACGGCUAACUACGUG
rnacentral:rRNA from 1 species